rnacentral:miRNA from 1 species
AGGUGCGGGUGCAGGUGCAGA